GUCAGUUUGGCCGAGUGGUUAAGGCGAUUGAGUACGUUCCACCUCAAUUAUGAGUCAAAGACCUCUCACUAACGUACUUUACAGCUAGAAAUCAAUUCCGUUCGCGGGCAGAGGUUCGAAUCCUCUAGCUGACG
rnacentral:tRNA from 1 species